CACAUGACAAGUCUCAGCACUCCAGUGAGGACACCCUUAUAACCUUCACAGGCCAAGGAGUCGGCAUCAGGCACAAAACUAUAGCCCACUACGCCUAGUCCCACCACACCCACAAGGGCUCUCAGCAGUGACAAAGAUUGCCCAUAAGCGUCAGCUUAAAUCAGUUAAAAAAAAUAGAGCCGGCAAACUAAGUGCCAGCCGCCGCGGCUACACCGACGGGCUCAAGUUGAUAACAAUCGGCGUUAAGCGUGAUUAAAGAAAUACUCAAUUAGAAUUAAACUUAAACUUAGUUGUAAAAAGCUUACUCCAACGGAAACCCAUAACGAAAGUUAUUCUAAUACCCACUCUUGAACCAACGACAACUGGACACAAACUGAGAUUAGUAGAUACCCCACUAUG
rnacentral:rRNA from 1 species